GACGAACGCUGGCGGCGUGCUUAACACAUGCAAGUCGAACGGAAAGGCCCUGCUUUUGCGGGGUGCUCGAGUGGCGAACGGGGGAGUAACACGUGAGUAACCUGCCCUUGUCUUUGGGAUAACUUCAGGAAACUGGGGCUAUUACCGGAUAGGAGCUCCUGCUGCAUGGUGGGGGUUGGAAAGAUUCGGCGGUUGGGGAUGGACUCGCGGCUUAUCAGCUUGUUGGUGGGGUAGUGGCUUACCAAGGCUUUGACGGGUAGCCGGCCUGAGAGGGUGACCGGCCACAUUGGGACUGAGAUACGGCGCAGACUCCUACGGGAGGCAGCAGUGGGGAAUAUUGCACAAUGGGCGGAAGCGUGAUGCAGCAACGCCGCGUGCGGGAUGACGGCCUUCGGGUUGUAAACCGCUUUCGCCUGUGACGAAGCGGGAGUGACGGUAAUGGGUAAAGAAGCACCGGCUAACUACGUG
rnacentral:rRNA from 1 species